UAGGGAAUCUUCCGCAAUGGGCGAAAGCCUGACGGAGCAACGCCGCGUGAGUGAUGAAGGUCUUCGGAUCGUAAAACUCUGUUAUUAGGGAAGAACAAAUGUGUAAGUAACUAUGCACGUCUUGACGGUACCUAAUCAGAAAGCCACGGCUAACUACGUGCCAGCAGCCGCGGUAAUACGUAGGUGGCAAGCGUUAUCCGGAAUUAUUGGGCGUAAAGCGCGCGUAGGCGGUUUUUUAAGUCUGAUGUGAAAGCCCACGGCUCAACCGUGGAGGGUCAUUGGAAACUGGAAAACUUGAGUGCAGAAGAGGAAAGUGGAAUUCCAUGUGUAGCGGUGAAAUGCGCAGAGAUAUGGGGGAACACCAGUGGCGAAGGCGACUUUCUGGUCUGUAACUGACGCUGAUGUGCGAAAGCGUGGGGAUCAAACAGG
rnacentral:rRNA from 1 species